rnacentral:rRNA from 1 species
UACAUGGGGUGCAAACGUUGUUCGGAAUCACUGGGCGUAAAGCGCACGUAGGCGGAUCUUUAAGUCAGGGGUGAAAUCCCGAGGCUCAACCUCGGAACUGCCUUUGAUACUGGGGAUCUUGAGUUCGAGAGAGGUGAGUGGAACUGCGAGUGUAGAGGUGAAAUUCGUAGAUAUUCGCAAGAACACCAGUGGCGAAGGCGGCCACCUGGCUUGGUAUUGACGCUGAGGCGCGAAAGCGUGGGGAGCAAACAGGG